CAAAUCCAGCUCCCAACCAACCAUCCAUAGCUUGCUUCAUCGGUGUGGGUCCAUCAUGGGUAGGCUGAUGCAUAAACUUACCCUAUGACUGCACCAGGAUAACCUAGAAACAGUCGGGGGAAACUAGCAGCUGAGUUUCCAGAUGACCAGGGAAGACAGCUGUAGAUGUUAUGUCGCUCACCUUGGAUGCUUUUGCUGAGGUUUCACAUGUCUGCUUUUUGAGUCUCUAACUGUACCUCUAAAGACUGUCUUUCACAGCGAAACAUAUACUCACAAAGUACUUCAUUAGGAACACGUGUGCAAUCUAAUCCAAUCCUAUACAACAGCUCUGCCAUAAAUUUUACUUCUAUGAAGGCUUUACAUAUUUUGUCCACCCUGUGAGGGUGCAGAAAAAAUAUUAUUUUCAAUAAAAUGCACUCCAGAACACCACCUCCACCCACUACAACCUCAAUAAUAAACUAUCAUCUUUCUGAUAAUGUCAACACAAACUGAAAAAUGAAUUUAAUUGAAUUUAAGCACUGUAUUUUAAUUAACUGAAUGAUUAGA